CAGUAGCCGCGGUAAUACGAAGGGUGCAAGCGUUAAUCGGAAUUACUGGGCGUAAAGCGUGCGUAGGCGGUUUGUUAAGUCUGUUGUGAAAUCCCCGGGCUCAGCCUGGGAAUGGCAAUGGAUACUGGCAAGCUAGAGUGUGUCAGAGGAUGGUGGAAUUCCCGGUGUAGCGGUGAAAUGCGUAGAGAUCGGGAGGAACAUCAGUGGCGAAGGCGGCCAUCUGGGACAACACUGACGCUGAGGCACGAAAGCGUGGGGAGCAAACAGGAUUAGAUACCCCCGUAGUCCCUGUCUCUUAUAC
rnacentral:rRNA from 1 species